ensembl:lncRNA
GUUCCCACAGGGUGAACGUGCUUAAUGUCAUGACACUGCACACUUCAACAUGGCAGAAACAGCGACUUCUCUGUUAUAUGGAGGUGCCCAAGGUCCCACAGCUGCAAGUGGUGGCACUGGCUGAGACUAGAACAGACCUGCGGAAUGGGGCUGGGAAAGGCCCAGGAUUUGGCCAGCGAAUGACAAUGGGGAUCAGGCCCUGACUGAGGGUCCUGGCUGAGACUGGGGGAUCCGUGUUCAGUGGAGCAGGCGGGGGCAUGUCCUUGGGGAACCAAGCCUGGAGAAAGAGGGACCACAAGGCAGAGAAAUACCAGUGAGCAGGCGUCUCCUCCAGUGCUGACCGGAAGUCGGUUCCCUGGGCUCUGAAAAGUCUCCAACUCCUGUGGAGGAAAAACUUCAAGCAAUAAUGGGAGCUGUUGUUCUUCCCCCUCAUGUGGGCUCUCUGGAGUCGAAGUUGACAGUGAGGAAAUGAGGGCCUUAAUCAGAUCUGUCCAUCCACUCCUGACACAUUUACAGCCACAGCGCAAGGCCCCAGAGCACAGGCAGGAAAAGAGAGCAACUUCCGGCCGUCCUGGCGCCCCAUUCCAGUGGAGGGGGAAAGGCAGGAAGCAGAAGGAUCACUGGGAACUCGGGGAGUAGAUAAGCGGGGGCCGCUGGGGAGGAAACUGGGCCAGGUGGAAGCGGUUGUUGAGAAGGUACUGGCGCUGGAUGUACUUUGCAGGGCAGCUGCCGGACGAGGAGGCGAAGCGGGUCUCUGGCUGGAGCCCCUUGCGGAUGAGCUGCCCUGGGCCAAGGUGUGGGAUGGGAGCUGUUACAGGCACUGGGCCUUGAGUUCCUGUCAGACACCAGGGAUCAAACUCAGGACCUUGUGCUUGCAAGGCAGGUGCGGUGCCACUGAGCUAAAUCCCCAGCCCCAAAGCUGCCUUUCUGUUGGAUGGUGCUCGGCAGCAGUGUUUCCUAUAUUUUUGAUCACACCUUGUAAAGACUCUCGGGAAAGAGGACUCCAGAACUGCUUCAGAACAUGGGUUCAAACUCAGGACCUUGUGCUUGUGAGGCAGCCACGAU